rnacentral:rRNA from 1 species
AAUUGAGGGGGGCUGCUCCUAGUACGAGAGGACCGGAGUGGACGCAUCACUGGUGUUCGGGUUGUCAUGCCAAUGGCACUGCCCGGUAGCUAAAUGCGGAAGAGAUAAGUGCUGAAAGCAUCUAAGCACGAAACUUGCCCCGAGAUGAGUUCUCCCUGAGACUUUAAGUCUCCUGAAGGAACGUUGAAGACGACGACGUUGAUAGGUCGGGUGUGUAAGCGCAGCGAUGCGUUGAGCUAACCGAUACUAAUGAACCGUGAGGCUUAACCUUAC